CAGCGGAGGGAUCAUUGCUGGAACGCGCCCUAGGCGCACCCAGAAACCCUUUGUGAACUUAUACCUUACUGUUGCCUCGGCGCAUGCUGGCCCCCUCGGGGUCCCCUGGAGACAGGGAGCAGGCACGCCGGCGGCCAAGUUAACUCUUGUUUUUACACUGAAACUCUGAGAAAAAAACACAAAUGAAUCAAAACUUUCAACAACGGAUCUCUUGGUUCUGGCAUCGAUGAAGAACGCAGCGAAAUGCGAUAAGUAAUGUGAAUUGCAGAAUUCAGUGAAUCAUCGAAUCUUUGAACGCACAUUGCGCCCUCUGGUAUUCCGGAGGGCAUGCCUGUUCGAGCGUCAUUUCAACCCUCAAGCAUUGCUUGGUGUUGGGGCACUGCCUGUAAAAGGGCAGGCCCUGAAAUCUAGUGGCGAGCUCGCUAGGACCCCGAGCGUAGUAGUUAAACCCUCGCUUUGGAAGGCCCUGGCGGUGCCCUGCCGUUAAACCCCCAACUUUUGAAAAUUUGACCUCGGAUCAG
rnacentral:misc_RNA from 1 species